UCGAAUUUUGUGUGGAGGAAAUAGAGAAAACAUGGCUUAGUAGGAGCUUUAUAGGAAGGUUGCAUGAUAUGAACAAAAUUGAUACGUUAAAGGAAAACUUCUUUCUUAAUGGCUUACAUUUCAAUAUGUGAAGCCAAAUAUGGAAAGUCAAGAUACUAAUACAUACUAUGGUCUGAGUGACUAUCAUGAUAACACUAAAAUAGAAGGAAAUCAUUUUUCGUCUGCUACGAAGGACAACCUAUUUCCCUCUCAUUUCCAACCUUAUUUCCAUGACGAGGGAAGGGUGGGAAGAACCACCGCAAUUUCACAAUCACUCAUUUCUCUCCCUAAACCCUUUCUCUUCUCCUUGUUUCCUCCAUGGAGGAGAAAAGACGUGACGCUACCCCCUCCAUUAUUGCAGUGAUUUUGGCGUUUCGUGCUGCAACAAGCUAUAAGCUCUGUGUUAUCGUUUGUGUGUUUGAUGUUGGUUUCUUUUUGCUGUUGACCAAGGGUGAUAGUUGGCAAUUCUCCUCUUGCUCUCUCUCGUGACAAUACACAAAACAGUGAUAGAGAUGAGUUCCUCUCACUUGAAUUUAAUGAUCUUCAUGCUUGAAGUUCAUGUAAUUACUAAUUGACAUAAUUAGGUGUUGCUUUUAGUUUUUCUUAACCUGGUUUUAACUUGAAGUCCAUGUCAUACCCAUAGUGGUGGUUAUUUUAACUUUUUAUAAUGUGGUUAUGAUGAUUAAAAUAUUUUUUUUAUGUAGUCAUUGGUCAGUUUUACAUUUUAAUAGGUUCAAUGCCUAUUUAUGCUACAUGUUUAGAAUUAUUGUGUUCUUGGAAACCUCAAAUAAAGGGAGCACUUAUGUUUCAUGAUUUACUCUAUCUAAUUGCAGCAGAAAAUAGUGCCAGUGGUGCAAUAGUUGUAGGAGCUGCUGGUGCGUUGGUGAAAUUAUUGGAGGGAGUUUGACGUGCAUUGGUGAAACAGUGAUAGAGCUGCAAAAUAGAUUGAAAGCAAGUAUUGUGUAGGCUGAACUUGAGAUUGCAUAAGCGCAAGUGAAAUUGUUUAAUGAGAAAAUUAGGUAUGAAGUUGAAUAGAACAAGGAGCAUAUCAUAAAUCUUCAACAAAAAGUUUCCAGGUUGCAAGACUAACAAUGAAGAUAUGUUGCUUAUGAUAUGUUGCAUAAAUCUUCAUUACCAUUCAAUUUUCUGACUCUCUUUUUUUUCCUCUUUCUACAUCUUCCCUUUUGCUUUUACUUAUUACUCAGUCAUUUUCUUUCAUAAAAGUAGCUUUUUCAGUAUUCCUUUUGCUUCGUCAUCUUAAAAUAUCCAAAUCCCUAUUCAAUUGCCCCAAAUAAACGGUAAAUUUCUUAAUCAGUAUCUCAAAGCACUGUUAGAUCCAGACAUGAUAGAAAAAAAAUAAAUAAACACUUUUAGUUUGUCUUUUGCACAUAGUAAGUUUCAUCUUUUAAGACUUAUAUUAGAAUUUUCAGCAUACUUUUCUCUACA